UACGUAGGAUGCUAGCGUUGUCCGGAUUUACUGGGCGUAAAGCGCGCGCAGGCGGCACUGUAAGUAAGGUGUGAAAUCUCCCUGCUCAACGGGGAGGGUGCACUUUAGACUGCAGAGCUAGAGGACGGUAGAGGGGGGUGGAAUUGCUGGUGUAGCGGUGAAAUGCGUAGAGAUCAGCAGGAACACCCGUGGCGAAGGCGGCCCCCUGGGCCGAACCUGACGCUGAGGCGCGAAGGCUGAGGGGAGCCGAACGGGGAUU
rnacentral:rRNA from 1 species